AAGGCAUUUGGUGUGUGUGUGUGUGUGUGUGUGUGUGUGUGUGUGUGUGUGUGUGUGUGUGAUCACACCUACCAUAUUGGCUUCCUGUCCCUGGAACAUCAGCUUUCUAGCUGGCUGAGCCUGUCCCCAUGAUUCUGGAUGCUUCAGGAGCAGAGGAUCUAUCAACCGCAGACCAAGCGUGGGGAGCUGCAGACAAACCUGAGCAGCAACCUGGCCAGCUCGGGGAGCGCCGACCAUCCUCAGUGGCCUGGCAGUGGGCAGCAGGAAAUGCGCCGUGGCCACGAGGCAAGGAAUCAACUCCGACACGAUCAUUGACACCUGGUAAAGACAAAGACUCAGCUGGAAGAGACACACUUGGAGCCACCCACUUUCAAGCCCAGACCUCUGAGAAAGGUA